GACGAACGCUGGCGGCGUGCUUAACACAUGCAAGUCGAACGGAAAGGCCCUGCUUUUGUUGGGUGCUCGAGUGGCGAACGGGUGAGUAACACGUGUGUAACCUGCCCUUGACUUUGGGAUAACUUCAGGAAACUCGGGCUAAUAUCGGAUAGGAUCUCCUGCUGCAUGGUGGGGGUUGGAAAGUUUCGGCGGUUGGGGCUGGACUCGCGGCUUAUCAGCUUGUUGGUGGGGUAGUGGCUUACCAAGGCUUUGACGGGUAGCCGGCCUGAGAGGGUGACCAGGCACAUUGGGACUGAGAUACGGCCCAGACUCCUACCGGAGGCAGCAGUGGGGAAUAUUGCACAAUGGCCGGAAGCCUGAUGCAGAAACGCCGCGUGCGGGAUGCGGGCCUACGGGUUGUAAACCGCUUUCGCCUGUGACGAAGCGUGAGUGACGGUAAUGGAUAAAGAAGCACCGGCUAACUACGUG
rnacentral:rRNA from 1 species